UACGUAGGGUGCAAGCGUUGUCCGGAAUUAUUGGGCGUAAAGAGCUCGUAGGCGGUCUGUUGCGUCGGCUGUGAAAACCCGGGGCUCAACCCCGGGCCUGCAGCCGAUACGGGCAGACUAGAGUUCGGCAGGGGAGACUGGAAUUCCUGGUGUAGCGGUGAAAUGCGCAGAUAUCAGGAGGAACACCGAUGGCGAAGGCAGGUCUCGUGGGCCAUUACUGACACUGAGAAGCGGAAAGCAUGGGGAGCGAACAGG
rnacentral:rRNA from 1 species